rnacentral:tRNA from 1 species
UCCUCAAUGGUCCAAUGGUUAGGAUACUUGUCUCUCACACAAGUGGCCGGGGUUCGAUUCCCCGUUGGGGAA